UACAGAGGGUGCAAGCGUUAAUCGGAAUUACUGGGCGUAAAGCGAGCGUAGUCGGUUAUUUAAGUCCGAUGUGAAAUCCCCGGGCUCAACCUGGGAAUUGCAUUCGAUACUGGAUAGCUAGAGUUCGGCAGAGGGAAGCGGAAUUUCGGGUGUAGCGGUGAAAUGCGUAGAUAUCCGAAGGAACAUCAGUGGCGAAAGCGGCUUCCUGGACCAGAACUGACGAUCAGGCUCGAAAGCGUGGGGAGCAAACAGG
rnacentral:rRNA from 1 species